GAUGAACGCUGGCGGCUUGCCUAAUACAUGAAAUUCGAGCGAACAGACGAGGAGCUUGCUCCUCUGACGUUAGCGGCGGACGGGUGAGUAACACUUGGAUAACCUACCUAUAAGACUGGGAUAACUUCGGGAAACCGGAGCUAAUACCGGAUAAUAAUUUGAACCGCAUGGUUCAAUAUUGAAAGACGGUUUUGCUGUCACUUAUAGAUGGAUCCGCGCCGCAUUAGCUAGUUGGUAAGGUAACGGCUUACCAAGGCAACGAUGCGUAGCCGACCUGAGAGGGUGAUCGGCCACACUGGAACUGAGACACGGUCCAGACUCCUACGGGAGGCAGCAGUAGGGAAUCUUCCGCAAUGGGCGAAAGCCUGACGGAGCAACGCCGCGUGAGUGAUGAAGGUCUUCGGAUCGUAAAACUCUGUUAUUAGGGAAGAACAAAUGUGUAAGUAACUAUGCACGUCUUGACGGUACCUAAUCAGAAAGCCACGGCUAACUACGUG
rnacentral:rRNA from 1 species